rfam:Morus notabilis contig25062, whole genome shotgun sequence.
AUACCUUUCUCGGCCUUUUGGCUAAGAUCAAGUGUAGUAUCUGUUCUUAUCAGUUUAAUAUCUGAUACGCGGAUCAAUGAAUCCGCAUGAUAUUAAAUUAGUUUUUUAAGGGGAAGUCCUCCAGUGGUAGCUUGCUACCACGGUCUCCAGCGUCGCUCUUGCUUUGCACUAUAGCAUGGGCUUGGCGCACCCUCC